CACGUAGGGCGCAAGCGUUGUCCGGAAUUAUUGGGCGUAAAGAGCUCGUAGGCGGUCUGUUGCGUCUGCUGUGAAAACCCGGGGCUUAACCCCUGGCUUGCAGUGGAUACGGACAGACUAGAGGUAGGUAGGGGAGAAUGGAAUUCCCGGUGUAGCGGUGAAAUGCGCAGAUAUCGGGAGGAACACCAGUGGCGAAGGCGGUUGCCUGGAGCUUUGCUGACGCUGAGGCGCGAAAGCGUGGGGAGCGAUCCGG
rnacentral:rRNA from 1 species